rnacentral:rRNA from 1 species
AAGUAAGUCUCAGUUCGGAUUGAAGGCUGAAAUUCGCCUACAUGAAGCUGGAAUUGCUAGUAAUGGCAGGUCAGCAUACUGCCGUGAAUACGUUCCCGGGCCUUGUACACACCGCCCGUCACACCAUGAGAGUUGGGGAUACCCGAAGCCUGUGAGCCAACUGUAAAGAGGCAGCAGUCGAAGGUAGAAUCAAUGAUUGGGGUGAAGUCGUAACAAGGUAUC